rnacentral:rRNA from 1 species
UAAAAGAAAUAAAUAUUAAUUCAUUUUUGCUUGGGCACUACGAACACAUGUUUAAAACCCAAAGAACUUGGCGGUACUUUAACCCACUUAGGGGAACCUGUCCUUUAAUUCGAUAGUCCACGAUAAUCUUAUUUAUUUUAGAACACUUCAGCUUGUAUACCGUCGUCAUAAGUUAACCUUAAAAAGAAAAAAAGUUAACAACAAAGAUAAAAUCUAACAAUUUUCUCUCAGGUCAGAUCAAGGUGCAGCUAAUAAAUAAAGAAGAGAUGGGUUACAAUUGAUAAAUUUCAAAUGGAAUUUUUAAAGAAAACAAAAACGAAAUAGGACUUAAAAGUAAUUUAUGAAAACAAACAUUAAUGAAUAAGGAAAUAAAGUGUGU